AACGAACGCUGGCGGCAGGCCUAACACAUGCAAGUCGAACGCCCCUUCGGGGGAGUGGCAGACGGGUGAGUAACGCGUGGGAACCUACCUAGUGGUACGGAAUAACGCAGGGAAACUUGUGCUAAUACCGUAUAAGCCCUUCGGGGGAAAGUUUUUCGCCAUUAGAUGGGCCCGCGUCUGAUUAGCUAGUUGGUGAGGUAAAAGCUCACCAAGGCGACGAUCAGUAGCUGGUCUGAGAGGAUGAUCAGCCACACUGGGACUGAGACACGGCCCAGACUCCUACGGGAGGCAGCAGUGGGGAAUAUUGGACAAUGGGCGCAAGCCUGAUCCAGCCAUGCCGCGUGAGUGAAGAAGGCCCUAGGGUUGUAAAACUCUUUCGCCGGUGAAGAUAAUGACUGUAACCGGUAAAGAAGCCCCGGCUAACUCCG
rnacentral:rRNA from 2 species